rnacentral:rRNA from 1 species
UACGUAGGGUGCGAGCGUUGUCCGGAAUUACUGGGCGUAAAGAGCUCGUAGGUGGUUUGUCGCGUCGUCUGUGAAAUUCCGGGGCUUAACCUCGGGCGUGCAGGCGAUACGGGCAAUACUUGAGUGCUGUAGGGGAGACUGGAAUUCCUGGUGUAGCGGUGAAAUGCGCAGAUAUCAGGAGGAACCCCGAUGGCGAAGGCAGGUCUCUGGGCCACUACUGACGCUGAGAAGCGAAAGCAUGGGGAGCGAACAGGAUUAGAUA